UACGUAGGGGGCAAGCGUUGUCCGGAUUCAUUGGGCGUAAAGAGCGUGUAGGCGGCCAGGUAGGUCGGUUGUGAAAACUGGAGGCUCAACCUUCAGAGGUCGACCGAAACCAUCUGGCUAGAGUCCGGGAGAGGAGAGUGGAAUUCCUGGUGUAGCGGUGAAAUGCGCAGAUAUCAGGAAGAACACCCGUGGCGAAAGCGGCUCUCUGGAACGGUACUGACGCUGAGACGCGAAAAGCCGUGGGGGAGCGAACAGG
rnacentral:rRNA from 1 species